rnacentral:lncRNA from 1 species
UGGUUGGAGUUCUAGAAAAGAAGGGUUCUUGAUGGGCAGCUAGGUACGUACUUCUAAGCUAUGUGAGCUUAGGUAAGUCUCUUAACCCCAAUUAACUAGCCCUUGCCAAUCUUCUUAGAAUUGAUCCUGGGUCAGAAGGUAAAGGUUUAAAAAAAAAGAUGAUGAAGGGUUCUUGUCAGAGGAGCUGCUUCUCUGGGAUGAUUUGAGGUGAAGAUACAUGGGCAAGAAAGUCACUUAGCUUCUCAAAAACCCAAGAAACGCUCUAAGUCUUUAAGUUACCACGAAGGUAUCAAUUAGCCCCAGGAGGGAGAAUUUCCUCAUUGGGGGUUCCUACACCAAUGAAAUCACAGUUUUGAUUUUUUCAAAAUUGCCUCUAAAUUUUACAUUCACAUGACAUGCUUAGACUUACAAAGUCUAUCACAACUGCACAGUCAUGUUGGUAGAUUAUUAUUAAUGCAAUUUUACAGAGGUGGAAGCUAAGAAUCAGAGAAGAGAAUUGACUGGGUUGUAGUUAGUGUCAGGGAUAAUAUUCUUUUUAAAAUAUGCUCUCAGAAUAGGAGGCAGAAAGGAUAACAAAACCAACAGUAUUUCCAGUAGGAAGCCUGGCACUCCCACUGCUUGACACCAAAAAGCAUCAGAAUCUUUUAGUGUUAGAGUAUCAAAGAAGAGAUUAAAAAAUUGAGGCACAGUGUAGGGAGGGCUUCAAACCUAAUUCCUCACAUACUCUACCAGAAAAUGAAUUCCCAGCUUCUAAUGUCUGCAAAUCUAUGGAAUGGUUCCUAUGAGCAGGAAUGGUAAGACUUUCUCUUCUUGUCUUUCAGAAAAGCCUCUUGGAGUCUCCCUCCCAUCCCCCUAAAAAAGGUACCAUUCAAGAUUGAGGAGAGCAGGUGUUGCCAUGGUUUUACAGUCCAGCAUCCUCCUCACAGAGCUACUUUCCCAGCAACAACCCUAAAAGAUGGUAAAAGGAUCAUUAACAACAUUUAACCAAUGAAGACACUGAAACUUAGAAAGGUUUAGGUGUAGUGAUCUCCACCAGAGAAGAGUUUGAGCCAUGGCCACCCUUGAGUCCAGAUUGCAGGUGAGAUAGUAUAACCAGCCAUCCUAGAAGGGAAACCCUAAGAAACCAGGAUGCCUGGGACUCAAGCUCAGAGGGAAGUUUGGACUUGGGACUUGGGCUUGUGAGCUAUAGAAUUUGAGUUCAGCUAUGAUUAAUCCACUUCCCUGCCCUAGAUACUGAGGUGCUACAGGGGGGAAGAAAUUGUUCUUCUUACACAUGGGGAAGUGCGU